rnacentral:rRNA from 1 species
AAAGGAAUAGACGGGGGCCCGCACAAGCGGUGGAGCAUGCGGGUUAAUAGGAUGAUACGCCAAGAACCUUACCAAGGCUUGACAUCGUAGGGACCGCCUGUGAAAGCAGGUUUCCUGGUUCGCCAGGUCCUAUGACAGAUGGUGCAUGGUUGUCGUCAGCUCGUGCCGUGAGGUGUUGGGUUAAGUCCCGCAACGAGCGCAACCCUCGCCAGAUGUUGCCAGCGGGCCUUCGGGCGCCGGGCACUCUUCUGGGACUGCCUGAGUAAUCAGGAGGAAGGAGAGGAUGACGUCAAAUCUGCAUGCCUCUUACGCCUUGGGCUGCACGCGUGCUACAAUGGCGGGUACAAAGGGCUGCUAAACCGCGAGGUGGAGCCAAUCCCCCAAAACCCGCCCCAGUUGGGAUCGGAUGUCUGCAACUCGACUCCGUGAACGUGGAAUCGCUAGUAACCGUGGAUCAGCAACGCCACGGUGAAUACGUUCCCGGGCCUUGUACACACCGCCCGU